CUCCCUGAAUCUUCCACCUGCCUGCAGUCUGAUUGCAGCAAUGAGAAUCAGCUGCCGUAAUUGGCUCACACCAGUCACCUGUUUGCAAUUCCACCUCCCAGCAUAUAAGCCAGCUCUGUCAUUCCCUCCCUGCUCCACCAUGGACGUGCACAUCCUGCGUCGACUCGUGACCACCAGAGCUUCUUGGACACGACUCUGCCCUUGUACCCCUGCCGGUUCCUGUUUGGGUUUCCUACCUACCCCUUCAGCUGAGUUUCUUCCCGUUACCAUCUGCUACAAAGCAUUACCGGGUAACAAAUACACCUGAUGAAGAUCAGAAAUAUUCAAGCAGAAACCUUCAGCUUCCACGAAGGUGGAAAUCAUUCUGCCAUGAAGACCUAACAACCUUCAAAGACAAUUUGAAAAUGGGAAGAAGCGCUGCGUCACUCUGCGAAGCGCUGCGUCACUCUGCGAAGCGCUGCGUCACUCAACUCAACUCAACUCAACUCAACUCAACUCAACUCAACUCAACUCAACUCAACUCAACUCAACUCAACUCAACUCAACUCAACUCAACUCAACUCAACUCAACUCAACUCAACUCAACUCAACUCAACUCAA